rnacentral:misc_RNA from 1 species
GAGAGUUUGUGUUCAUUAGAGGGGAACACACUUGAAAGGCGGGGAGAAUUACUUAAGAUUGAAGUGAAGUUAUUGCUUGAUGCAUCAGACGAUCCAUUGGCUCAGCUCCAGCUCAUUGACUCUAUUCAACGGCUUGGCAUCGCCUACCAUUUCGAUAACGAGAUUAAAUCUAUCCUUCGUAGAAUAUAUGAAUGUCAUGUUGAUCUAGAGGUAUUGGACUGUGUCGAAAAGACGGCUCUGGCCUUUCGUCUUCUCCGACAACAUGGUUAUGAUGUAUCAACAGAUGUUUUUCACA